CUGCUUUUGUACGGAACGAAAAGGUCUCUCCUAAUACGAGAGGCUCAUGACGGUACCGUAAGAAUAAGCACCGGCUAACUACGUGCCAGCAGCCGCGGUAAUACGUAGGGUGCAAGCGUUAAUCGGAAUUACUGGGCGUAAAGCGUGCGCAGGCGGUUAUAUAAGACAGAUGUGAAAUCCCCGGGCUCAACCUGGGAACUGCAUUUGUGACUGUAUAGCUAGAGUACGGUAGAGGGGGAUGGAAUUCCGCGUGUAGCAGUGAAAUGCGUAGAUAUGCGGAGGAACACCGAUGGCGAAGGCAAUCCCCUGGACCUGUACUGACGCUCAUGCACGAAAGCGUGGGGAGCAAACAGGAUUAGAUACCCUGGUAGUCCACGCCCU
rnacentral:rRNA from 1 species